rnacentral:rRNA from 1 species
GGACUACAAGGGUAUCUAAUCCUGUUUGAUCCCCACGCUUUAGUGCCUCAGCGUCAAUAAUAGUUUAGCGAGCUGCCUUCGCAAUUGGUGUUCUGUGUCAUAUCUAAGCAUUUCACCGCUACAUGACACAUUCCGCCCACCUCAACUAUAUUCAAGCUCAUCAGUAUCAAAGGCAGUUCCGGAGUUAAGCUCCGGGCUUUCACCUCUGACUUAAUAAGCCGCCUACGCACCCUUUAAACCCAAUAAAUCCGGAUAACGCUUGGAUCCUCCGUAUUACCGCGGCUGCUGGCAC